UACGUAGGGUGCAAGCGUUAAUCGGAAUUAGCUGGGCGUAAAGCGUGCGCAGGCGGUGAUGUAAGACAGAUGUGAAAUCCCCGGGCUCAACCUGGGAACUGCAUUUGUGACUGCAUCGCUGGAGUACGGCAGAGGGGGAUGGAAUUCCGCGUGUAGCAGUGAAAUGCGUAGAUAUGCGGAGGAACACCGAUGGCGAAGGCAAUCCCCUGGGCCUGUACUGACGCUCAUGCACGAAAGCGUGGGGAGCAAACAGG
rnacentral:rRNA from 1 species